GGUCUCAUGGUGUAAUGGUUAGCACUCUGGACUUUGAAUCCAGCGAUCCAAGUUCAAAUCCCGGUGAGACCU
rnacentral:tRNA from 1 species